CGUAAGUUUCAGGGCGGGGUGCAAAUCCCCACUGGCGGUAUAGUGUACAAAGCACUAAGCCCGCGAGCCUUUGUGGCUGACUUGGUGAAAUUCCAAGGCCAACGGUUAUAGUCCGGAUGAAAGAAACGAGGA
rfam:Atopobium vaginae DSM 15829 Contig27.fasta, whole genome shotgun sequence.